UCCCUGGUAGCUCAGCGAUAAAGAAUCUGCCUGCAAUGCAGGAGACCCAGGUUCAAUCCCUGGGUCGGGUA
rnacentral:tRNA from 1 species